GAACGAACGCUUGGCGGCGUGCUUAACACNUGCAAGNUCGAACGAGGUCCAGCCGAGCUUUCGGGCAAAGCGAAGACCUAGUGGCGAACGGGUGCGUAACACGUGAGGAACCUGCCCCGGACUUGGGAAUAACAGUCGGAAACGUCUGCUAAUACCGAAUACCUUCGUAGCGUCGCAUGGCGCAUCGAAGAAAGCUUUUGCGGUUUGGGAGGGCCUCGCGGCCUAUCAGCUAGUUGGCGAGGUAACGGCUCACCAAGGCAUCGACGGGUAGCUGGUCUGAGAGGAUGAUCAGCCACACUGGGACUGAGACACGGCCCAGACUCCUACGGGAGGCAGCAGUGGGGAAUAUUGCACAAUGGGCGAAAGCCUGAUGCAGCAACGCCGCGUGCGGGAAGAAGGCCUUAGGGUUGUAAACCGCUUUCAGCAGGGAAGAAACUGACGGUACCUGCA
rnacentral:rRNA from 1 species